AGGAGUUCUAAUGAUGGAUCUGGU
rnacentral:siRNA from 1 species